AGAGUUUGAUCCUGGCUCAGGAUGAACGCUGGCGGCGUGCCUAGACACAUGCAAGUCGAACGGAACUUCUUUGAUAGAAUUCUUCGGAAGGAAAUUGAUUAAGUUUAGUGGCGGACGGGUGAGUAACGCGUGAGUAACCUGCCUUUGAGAGGGGAAUAACUUCCCGAAAGGGAUGCUAAUACCGCAUAACGCAUAGAAGUCGCAUGGCUUAUAUGCCAAAGAUUUAUCGCUCAAAGAUGGACUCGCGUCCGAUUAGCCAGUUGGCGGGGUAACGGCCCACCAAAGCGACGAUCGGUAGCCGGACUGAGAGGUUGAACGGCCACAUUGGGACUGAGACACGGCCCAGACUCCUACGGGAGGCAGCAGUGGGGGAUAUUGCGCAAUGGGGGGAACCCUGACGCAGCAACGCCGCGUGAAGGAUGAAGGUUUUCGGGAUUGUAAACUUCUUUUUAUUUAGGACGAACAAUGACGGUACUAAAUGAAUAAGCUCCGGCUAACUACGUGCCAGCAGCCGCGGUAAUACGUAGGGAGCAAGCGUUAUCCGGAUUUACUGGGUGUAAAGGGUGCGUAGGCGGCUUGAUAAGUCAGAUGUGAAAUGUAUGGGCUCAACCCAUGCACUGCAUUUGAAACUAUUGAGCUUGAGUGAAGUAGAGGUAGGCGGAAUUCCCUGUGUAGCGGUGAAAUGCGUAGAGAUAGGGAGGAACACCAGUGGCGAAGGCGGCCUACUGGGCUUUAACUGACGCUGAGGCACGAAAGCGUGGGUAGCAAACAGGAUUAGAUACCCUGGUAGUCCACGCUGUAAACGAUGAUUACUAGGUGUGGGGGGUCUGACCCCUUCCGUGCCGGAGUU
rnacentral:rRNA from 1 species